UCCUGCUCAGACACAGGUUCAACUUCCUCAGUCUUGAACAUAAUAGAGGGAGUAUUAGGGACUGGCAAUGUUAAGGUGAUUGGUGUGACAGGGGUUGAACUGGGAAAACAUUGGGUAAUUCCUCAGUUUCGCCCAAACCUCUGCUAGGAAGAGAUGGACUGGAAAAGUUGAGGCAGCAAUGAAAUUGAAAACUGGGGAUAUUGAAACUGUAAUUGCUGAAACUAAAUGUGUCCAAGCAGCAGCUCUUGUUGUGCAGGGAAUAACUCCUGUCAGCAGCAAGGGCCCGACUGAAGUGGCAGCUGCAGUUGUUCCUGUGGUGUGGGCCAGUGGAAUUCCAAGAAAAUGGACGAGGGCAGAACCUGUAAGAACUACCCCUAAGCCAGAGUCUCUACUGGCAGAAGAGCCCAGGCCUGAGCUGGCUGAGUGUUGGUGUGACCCACAGUGGGUGUCCCCUGCCCUCGGGACAGUCCCCAGAGCUCCCUUUGGCAUCCCCUGGUGAAGGGUGGGAGCUGCCCAGAGCCAGCAGCAUCCAGCUGGAGGAUCCAGGAGGAUGCAGCUGAUGUUGCCUGGGAGUUGAAAACUGAAGUGAUUUUCAAGGUGUUGGCACUUGUUUUCCUGUGUCUUUGGUGAGGUGUUGACUCAGUACCUUUCUUGGAGCUGCUGUUGGAUGAAGAGGUGCCCCCAGUUGACCUGUAAGGUCCUGGUUUUCUUCCCUGCUUCUCCCAGCUUGUCCAGGAGAUGGAAUUCCAGUGCUACAGUGUAGGUGGGUGGUGGUGCUCCCAAAAGGAGCCUUUGUGCCUUCAGGACAAGUUCUGGUGCCCCUGGAGCUGUUGGGAGAAGUGGGGGGUUGGCAGUGAGAGGUGUGGAAUGAUGUUGCUGUGGCACAGACGAAAUGAACAGUGAUGGUACAAUUGGCUGUUUUCAUUUCAACGUAAUGGAGAAAAUCUGGAAAGCAGGAAGGAAGAAAAGAAGCCACCUGACUCCUCCUGAGCCCCAGACAGCUCCUAAACUGCCUUCCUGGGAAUGGUGGGACGGGCUGGACUCUGGAUUGCUCCCUCUGGAUGUGUGGAACUCCAGGAACUCCUGGUGCCGCCUGGGCCAAUGGAUUGGACGCCCCAGCCCCUCCGUUCCUGCCCAGCCACUGGGGCCGUGUCGAGUGGUGGCACUGCCAGCCCUGCAGGUGAAGGGGAAAGG